rnacentral:rRNA from 1 species
AAUGGGUCAGCGACUUAUAUUCUGUAGCAAGGUUAACCGAAUAGGGGAGCCGAAGGGAAACCGAGUCUUAACUGGGCGUUAAGUUGCAGGGUAUAGACCCGAAACCCGGUGAUCUAGCCAUGGGCAGGUUGAAGGUUGGGUAACACUAACUGGAGGACCGAACCGACUAAUGUUGAAAAAUUAGCGGAUGACUUGUGGCUGGGGGUGAAAGGCCAAUCAAACCGGGAGAUAGCUGGUUCUCCCCGAAAGCUAUUUAGGUAGCGCCUCGUGAAUUCAUCUCCGGGGGUAGAGCACUGUUUCGGCAAGGGGGUCAUCCCGACUUACCAACCCGAUGCAAACUGCGAAUACCGGAGAAUGUUAUCACGGGAGACACACGGCGGGUGCUAACGUCCGUCGUGAAGAGGGAAACAACCCAGACCGCCAGCUAAGGUCCCAAAGUCAUGGUUAAGUGGGAAACGAUGUGGGAAGGCCCAGACAGCCAGGAUGUUGGCUUAGAAGCAGCCAUCAUUUAAAGAAAGCGUAAUAGCUCACUGGUCGAGUCGGCCUGCGCGGAAGAUGUAACGGGGCUAAACCAUGCACCGAAGCUGCGGCAGCGACGCUUAUGCGUUGUUGGGUAGGGGAGCGUUCUGUAAGCCUGCGA